CUGCCAGGAAAGCACUGGUAAAGGAUAUUCGACAAUUGUCACCUCAGCAUCAGACAUUCUCCCUGGAGGCCUACCAUUCCCUUAUUCUGCACUUUGCUCCCAAACACACUGGCUUUUCUUUUCUUGGGAUGUACAGCAGACUUCUCUUGGCAGCCCUACAUUUCAAUAGUAAUGGCAACAGAGAUGUAGCGCGAACUAGUGAGGGUGAGGUACGCUACGCUGUUCGCUACCCACGGUUUCGGAAAGGUGGCUGGGUAGUCCACCCCAUCAAGGAGAAACCAUCUUACGGAUACGCAACAAAUCUUAUGGUCUCUCUGGUAGAGGAAUACUGCAAGUCACCACAGGCCCUACAAGAAAGCAGUGCCGUCUUGUCCUCUGCUGCACCGCCCCCCCUCACCUCUUCCGUCCAGAAGGUUGCCAAGGAUGAGGCAGUCAGCCUCCAUCUCGCACGACACUCACGUUUUAACAUGUAAUAAA